rnacentral:rRNA from 1 species
AAAACAACCGUGAUUCUCUCAGUGAGCGGCGAGCGAAGAGGGAUCCAAACUCGAUGCCGAAUCGGGUCUCACAAGGCCUGAGCUGUGGCACAGACGUCGACUUGUGGUGGCUGGUGCAGGAGUGGCGAAAUUCAAGCGCAAAGCAAACCCGUUGCUGCAUACAACCCUUCGUGUGAGUAUUGAGCCAGAGGAGGUGUUAGCCCAGUUCCGCCAUCCACCUGAGCGCCUCAUGGAAGUCGCGCCAAGAGAGUAGCACUGUUUGGGAAUGCAGUGUCAAACUGGCAGGUAUAUGUCUGCCAAGGGUUUAAAUACAGAGUGGGAAGACCGAUAGCGAACAAGUAGCGUGAGCGAAAGUUUGAAAAGCACUUUGGAAAGAGAGUGAAAUAGAACCUGAAGUCGUGACAAUGACAAUGGAAGUACCUCCAUUU